CAAUAGCGUAUAUUAAAGUUGUUGCAGUUAAAAAGCUCGUAGUUGGAUUUGUGGUUCGUCCCGCCGGCUGGGUCAUUGACUUUUGCUGUGCUGGUCGUCCAUCCUUGGGUGGAAUCUGUGUGGCAUUAGGUUGUCGCGCAGGGGAUGCCCAUCGUUUACUGUGAAAAAAUUAGAGUGUUCAAAGCAGGCUUAUGCCGUUGAAUAUAUUAGCAUGGAAUAAUGAUAUAGGACCUUGGUACUAUUUUGUUGGUUUGCGCACUGAGGUAAUGAUUAAUAGGGACAGUUGGGGGUAUUCGUAUUCCAUUGUAAGAGGUGAAAUUCUUGGAUUUUUGGAAGACGAACUACUGCGAAAGCAUUUACCAAGGAUGUUUNUAUUA
rnacentral:rRNA from 1 species